rnacentral:rRNA from 1 species
GAUGAACGCUGGCGGCGUGCCUAAUACAUGCAAGUCGAGCGAACAGACGAGGAGCUUGCUCCUCUGACGUUAGCGGCGGACGGGUGAGUAACACGUGGAUAACCUACCUAUAAGACUGGGAUAACUUCGGGAAACCGGAGCUAAUACCGGAUAAUAUAUUGAACCGCAUGGUUCAAUAGUGAAAGACGGUUUUGCUGUCACUUAUAGAUGGAUCCGCGCCGCAUUAGCUAGUUGGUAAGGUAACGGCUUACCAAGGCGACGAUGCGUAGCCGACCUGAGAGGGUGAUUGGCCACACUGGAACUGAGACACGGUCCAGACUCCUACGGGAGGCAGCAGUAGGGAAUCUUCCGCAAAGGGCGAAAGCCUGACGGAGCAACGCCGCGUGAGUGAUGAAGGUCUUCGGAUCGUAAAACUCUGUUAUUAGGGAAGAACAAAUGUGUAAGUAACUAUGCACGUCUUGACGGUACCUAAUCAGAAAGCCACGGCUAACUACGUG